rnacentral:tRNA from 1 species
GGGGCUGUAGCUCAGCUGGGAGAGCGGCGGCUUUGCAAGCCGUAGGUCAGGGGUUCGAACCCCCUCAGCUCCA